CGGUUUCUAUCUUAUAUUUUACAUUCGGUCAUUAUUUUACAUUCACCAUUGUUGCAUCGCUAACGUGGCUAGAAGAGCUUAGUGUGAUAGCCAACAACUCACAUUUAAAAAAAAGAUUGUGUUGCAAUUCCCGAACAAUCAUCAACAUGCCCAAAAGAAAGAGUGCUACCAAGGGCGAUGAGCCUGCAAGACGUUCAGCACGUUUGUCAUCUAGACCUGCGCCAAAGCCUGCGGCCAAACCCAAAAAAGCGGCAGCACCCAAAAAGCCAGUCAAAGGAAAGAAGGCAGCUGAGAACGGUGAUGCCAAGGCUGAGGCUAAGGUUGAAGCCGCUGGAGACGCCAAAUGAAGAACUGUUUGAAGUUGUGAUCAUUCUGUGUACUUGGUGACUGUACAGUUUAAAAUAAGUAUUUUUUACCAAGUUUUUUUUAUAUUAAAAGAUAUCAUUUAUAGUUCAUUGUGGGCUUGCAUUUGACGUAAUGAAGCUGUUCCAAGAGGUUGCCACAUUCAUAUCCAUUUUUAUGCCUUGUUUAAAUUAAUACCGUCCAUAUCCAGUCAAAGUUUUUUUUAAAGCAAAAAAAAACUAGACCUGUUUUUUUUUUUUUUUUUUUUUUUUUUUUUUAAUACUGCUGAAUGUUAUUUUCCUACAUAAAUUCAAACAUUAAAGGCAGCUACAGUGUGUUUCUAAAAUGUUUUAAGAGGAAUGGGGUUUUUGCCACUCCUUUUAGUUUUUUAUUGUACAAGUAAUAUUAAUUAAUUACUUACCAACGGUUUUGAAUCAACAUCAGAUCUUCUCAUUCAGGAGACAAAAGACACCGUUUGAAAGUAAUCACUAACUUGUAUUAGGUCAACACACAAUCAACACGCAAAAUUAAUAAUGUGAACUUAAUCAUUUGUUCUAUUGUUUAUUUUAUUAAAUUGUUCUGUAAAAACAGUGGAAAGAGCUAUUGUGACGCCUAUGAAAUUUUAAAUGUUCUUGAAUAAAAUGAUAAAAAGGC